GUGCUGUGCUACAGACGCAUGUGGAGGUCAACCCAAAAUGGGCACAGUCUCACCGCAGAAGAGUGAAAGAGGAUCCUGGCAGGGAGACGGUAGUGUCCUGCAGAAUGGUGAUGGGCCAAUCUUACAAGAGACCACAGAAAACUGAUAUAGUGAACUAUAGAAACAACAGUGCCUGCUGCAGUAUAAUGAGGACACCCUGAGCAGAGAGCUCCAAUAGACCCAGGUCCAGUGUCUUGGCAGGGUGAAAUGGCACUGAUAUGGUGUCCUGCAGGAUGCUGUGUCCUGCAAUCCUGUGUGCUGUGCUACAGACGCGUGUGGAGGUCAACCCAAAAUGGGCACAGUCUCACCACAGAAGAGUGAAAGAGG